AAAAGUCUAAAUCUUUUCAUGGCCAUCUCAAUUUAGGAUUUAUCCACUCAGGAUUUUUUUUUUUUUAAUUGGGCUGUGCUGAGUCUUAGUUGCAGAGUAUGAGAUCUUACUUGCAGCUUGUGGGAUCUAGUUCCUUGACCAGAGAUUGAACCAGGCCCUCUGCAUUGGGAGCAUGGAGUCUCAACCACUGGACCACCAGAGACUCCAGCCCCGACUCCAUUAUCUGGCCUGAUGAGUGGGCUCUUGUGGACUCUCAUAACCUUUUGAUGAAUUUCAUGUUUUCCCCAAAGAGUCGCUGGACUUGCUGCCUGGCUGGCCAUCUUUACUGGAGGCCCACUGCUUUUGUUCUUGACACUCCUGGGCCUGCUGGCUCCAGCUCCUCCUGGACACUGAAAGGAAGGGAAGAAAGUCAUUACGGUUGAUGAACAAGGAGAUGCUGGUGGCCUGAGCAGAACAGCUUCCAGGUUAAAAAAAAAACAAAACAAAUCUGCCAUGUUUGUUGCCAGUUCUGACCACAUGGGAAGAUGGGGGAUCUACAAAGCAGUGAGGAGAGAACAGUGCCGGACUGAGCCUUUGUGAUGCGUCCUGCCAGGCACUGUGUUAUCACUGUUACUCUCCACAACUACUGGAUAAAAACCAAGAACCCUGGACCAGGACUAACCGAAAUUGAGUACCAAUCCAACACAGGAAUCUUCCUGCAAAAAGGCAGGUGCUGCCCGGCCCAAACAGAAGGUGGCUUUCUUUAUGCAGUGGGCCACAUCCUUACCGCCACCCUGUCACCUGGCUCGUGUGUGCUGGGCCACCAGGCAAGUCAGAGACCAUGGCUUAUCUCAC